UACGAAGGGGGCUAGCGUUGCCCGGAAUCACUGGGCGUAAAGCGCACGUAGGCGGCUUCUUAAGUCAGGGGUGAAAUCCUGGAGCUCAACUCCAGAACUGCCUUCGAUACUGGGAAGCUCGAGUCCGGGAGAGGUGAGUGGAACUGCGAGUGUAGAGGUGAAAUUCGUAGAUAUUCGCAAGAACACCAGUGGCGAAGGCGGCUCACUGGCCCGGUACUGACGCUGAGGUGCGAAAGCGUGGGGAGCAAACAGG
rnacentral:rRNA from 1 species